GCCUCUGUAGCUUAGCCUGGUGGAGCUCGCGGCUGUUAACCGCGCGGUCGUAGGUUCAAAUCCUACCGGGGGCG
rnacentral:tRNA from 1 species